UUCAGUUUUCCCAGAAUUGGGAAUUAGGGUUCUAGAAAAAAAAAAUCAAAUUGACCCUGUGAUUUCCCCGUUUUUGAACCAAAUUACUGUAAGAUAGAAGGUUGUUAUGGCUUAGUAUGUUGCUGUAUAUGCUCAUCUUGCUUCGAUUAACUCCAACAGCAGCAGGAACACCGGCUUUGAACACCUCAGGAUUGUCCCUUGCAACCAUUGAACCUCUCAAUGGUUGUAACUUUAAGAAGUGGAAGGAAUCCAUAGAGCUUUACCUUGGCCUUCAAGGAAUUGAUUGGUGUCUGACUGAGCCUGAACCGCUAAUAGAUGACACUAGCUUUGAUCUAGUGAUUAUGAAACAUAGAGAAUGGGUUAGAGCCAAAAGGAUGACCAAGCUUAUUCUUAAGCAAACCAUGACUGCUGUGGUUAGGGGGAGUAUUGCUGACAAAGACACAGCCACUGAGUUUAUGGCUGCUAUUGCCUUGAAGUUUUGAGAGAAUGAGAAGGCCGAGAUUUCUCUUCUACUGGAUAUGUUGAUGGGGAUCAAUUAUGAUUCCUCUAAGAGUGUCCGUGAGCAUAUCAUGAAGGUCAUUGACAUCACCACUAGGCUUGGAGAUCUGGAGAUACCCCUGCCUGCUGAAUUUAUAGUGCAUCAGUCCCUAAGAACCUUGUCUGCCUCUUUUGGUCAGUUGAAGACCAUUUAUUUUACAUAGAAGGAUAAGUGGGAUUUGAAUGAGCUAAUAGCGAUAUGUGUGCAAGAGGAAGAUAGGAUGAAGAAGGAUGGACCACUUGUUGUGAAUCUGAUCUCAAAGUCGAAAUGGAAGGGAAAAGGCAAAGUUGUUGCCUCUAGUGCAGUUAAUUCUGGAGAAGGUACCAGUGGGACCAAGCCUUACAAACUUGGCCCCAAGAAAUCUGUGAAUAGCAAGGGUAAGAAACCGGGAGUCUUCAAAUGCUUCUUUUGUAAAAAGGAAGGUCAUAUGAAGAAAAAUUGCUAGGGAUUAAAGGAUUGGAUGGCAAAGAAGGGGCUUUCUAAGCAAGAGAGCUCCAAGGAAAAAUGAGGUGCAAGUAGCAGUUGGGAAUGGCAUGGGAGUGGCUGUGAAGGCUAUAGGCACAGUCCGUUUAGUGUUAGGCUCAGGCACUCAUUUUGAUUUGAGCAAUGUUUUCUAUAUUCCCUCGGUGA